rnacentral:lncRNA from 1 species
UUGUCACAUGACACCAUACAAUUAUUUUAAAAUUGAUAAUAUAAUUUAGAUUUUCAUAUAAACUUAUUAUAUGGAUCAUUUACUUAUUUAAAAAAAAUAAUGGUUUAAUUGCAGUUCUUCUGUUUUAUCAAUUUAUAAAAUUGAUUCUUUAUUUUAAAAUUCGAUAGUUUUGAUCUUUCAUUUUGAUUUUUAAACUAAAAAAUUAUACUGUGAUAUGUUUUAAAUAAUAUGACAUAUGAUACAAUAAUGUAGAAUAAUUAACAUCAUAUAUCGCAAUAAAAUCUUAUUAAAACUUAAUUUUCAACUUCAAUUUUUAUUUUAUUUUAUAAUUAAUUAAUAAAUAUAAAUAAUUAAUACAUCUACAUAAUAUUAUAUUAUAAAAUCGUAUGUCAAUUCAUUUAAAGUAUAUCAAAUUAUUAUUUUUUAAUUUAAAAAUUUAAAUAAAAAAUAAAAAUAUUAAUUUUUUAAAUAAGAAGUAAAUUCCGUAACAAUAAAAAAUAAAAGAAACAAAAUUAAAAUCUAACGUAAGGAACAUACCCUGCUAUGAGUAUGUUGAGCAUGACGGUGGCUCCCACCGCAAUUCCCGCAAGUUCUCCCACCUGCAUCAUGUUGAACACUCCAGAUUAAUUAAUGUCAAAAAGUUUCAUACAAAAAAAUUUAAUGUCAAAAAAGAAAUCACAAGUCGAUUCAUCUGUUACACUAGUGCAUCACCUACUAAUAUAUAGUUGACCUAAUUUUGAAAAAAAAAAUUAUGUUAAUUAAAAUGUUAUUUAUUAUCUAAUUUUCUAUAAAUAAUAAUAGUUAUAUUUUUUAGAAAAUAAUAAUAAUAAUUGCAGUCUCCAAAUUGUAAUAUAUCAAACUAAUUUUACAAAUAUAAACUAGCUUAUUUAAAAUAAUAAAAUAUUGUAAAUUCAUUAAAGAUCAUUUUAAAAAUAAUAUCAUUAACUAGGUAGAAUUUCAAAAAAUAAUCUCCAAUUUAGAAUUUCUUUUUAUUUAUACAUGAGAGAUAUAAUAUGUAUUUCUUCUACCCAAGUAAUUAUUUGAUGCAAACAAGCAAGAUUCCAAAUCCACUUGUCUUUAAUUAACUAGUACAAGUACAGAGAGGGUAGAGACAAUUAUCUCACUGCAAAACAUGCAUGUUCAUGUAUACAGUAAUGGUUAAACCAUCACCAUUUUAAUCCUUUCAAAUUUCACUUUUAUUUUUUU